GACGAACGCUGGCGGCGUGCUUAACACAUGCAAGUCGAACGGAAAGGCCCUGCUUUUGUGGGGUGCUCGAGUGGCGAACGGGUGAGUAACACGUGAGUAACCUGCCCUUGACUUUGGGAUAACUUCAGGAAACUGGGGCUAAUACCGGAUAGGAGCUCCUGCUGCAUGGUGGGGGUUGGAAAGUUUCGGCGGUUGGGGAUGGACUCGCGGCUUAUCAGCUUGUUGGUGGGGUAGUGGCUUACCAAGGCUUUGACGGGUAGCCGGCCUGAGAGGGUGACCGGCCACAUUGGGACUGAGAGACGGCCCAGACUCCUACGGGAGGCAGCAGUGGGGAAUAUUGCACAAUGGGCGGAAGCCUGAUGAAGCAACGCCGCGUGCGGGAUGACGGCCUUCGGGUUGUAAACCGCUUUCGCCUGUGACGAAGGGUGAGUGACGGUAAUGGGUAAAGAAGCACCGGCUAACUACG
rnacentral:rRNA from 1 species